rnacentral:lncRNA from 1 species
GAUCAGUGGUUUCCUGAGGCAGCUCGAGCUAUGGCACUUCAAGGUGCAGAAGUACUGUUCUAUCCUACUGCAAUUGGUUCUGAACCUCAAGAUGAUGGACUUGAUUCUCGUGAUCACUGGAGGAGGGUGAUGCAAGGACAUGCUGGAGCUAAUGUGGUACGUUUUAUUUUUCAUUUUUAACUUUUUUUUCGUUAAGAAUGAUAAGUAAAAGGGAUGUUUAUGUUGGCAUGAUCAGGAUAGCCUAGUUGCAAGGAUCCUCCACCUUCAAUCAUAAGAUUUUGGGGGUUUGAGUCACCAAGGGAGCAAAAGUGGGAAAAGGGUCACUAUUCGACUCCUGGGCAAUGGGUUAGGAUGGUGGGGUUUUAGCAUAACCUAAAAAAAAACAAGGAAAGUUGUGUCCCAAGCUAGAAUUUGGUCCAGCUAAAAUGUUAAUUAUGCAUCUUGAUCCUAGUUUAUUAAUUUUAUUAUACACCGAGCUGCUUUAGCUUAUUCUUUUCUUUUAAUCAUUCUUUUGCUCGGCUGAGCAACAUACCUGUGUUACAAUUGGGUAAAAAUGUCUGUAAGGGACAAGAAUUGAAGAGAUGUACAACAAAAAGUUUAUGCAAGAAAAAGGAAACACGGAGUCAUGCCCCUCUUAUAUAUUUGCUGGACAGAUUGGAAUAGCCAUCAAAAGUGCUUUUCCUCUCUUAACCAACCCCUUCUAUCGUAGCUCCUAUUUGAGCUUAAAACUGGACUAUUUCAGUAGUUCCCUGUGUGUUUUCUUGGUGUGGGUUUCUUCCUCAACUCUAGAGCUGACAUUAUAUGUACCUCAAUCUGGAUUCAUAUUCUAUUUGAUCUUACAAGAUACACACACACACACACACACACUCUGCUAAUCAAUUCUUCACGACAAGCAUAGCAUUUACUGUACGCUAUGUAUGCCAUUUUCCUAUGCAUUCUCUGUGUAGAAAAGGAAACUAACAAUUAUUUGCAACUUUUAGCAAAAGAAGAAUUUUGAUUUCUGUGGUUUUAAUACACCAAAAUAAAACCAAACUCGAAUUGUUGGUUCUCAACUCAUUUUACAAGACCAAAGCCAAGAAAAUGACUUUUAAAUUGUUGGUUUGGUUUGAAUCAAUUUGGUUCAGUCUUUUUUCUAGAAACACUUUGUCCACUUUAAUUUUUAUCGUGUUCAGGUACCUUUAGUAGCUUCAAACCGCAUUGGAAAGGAGACAAUUGAGACAGAGCAUGGGAAAAGCACGAUAACAUUCUACGGCUACUCUUUCAUUGCAGGUAAGCUAUUUGACAAAACUUUGUAGCUACAGAACUUGAAAAACAUCUAUCGCCUUAUGUUGCUAAGGGGCUCUGAAUCUGGUUUAAAAAUGAACAGGGCCCACUGGGGAGUUGGUAGCAGCUGCUGAUGAUAAAGAGGAAGCUGUUCUUAUAGCGCAGUUCGAUCUGGACAAAAUCAAGUCCAAAAGGCAGAGUUGGGGGGUAUUUCGUGAUCGACGCCCUGAUUUAUAUAAGGUUCUUUUGACAUUAGAUGGAAGCAACCCAGUCAAGUGAUUCAAGAUGGACCAAGUAUCGCCUAUUCUCCUGCCCUUUUUUUUGUCAAUCUUAUCAAUAAAAGAGUGAGGACUAAAAUAUAAUCUUGUACUCGAGUUCUGUUGUCAUGUAACUCGUUAUAUGGUGUGAUCUGUCACAUGCUACACUUUCUGCAAUGAAUGGCAGAGUUCGGGAGUUUGAAUCCCUUAAUGUGUAAUCAGUAGCAUCUAUGUGCAACUUUGAUGGUUUUUGUCACAUCCAAGUAGUGAACACAUUCAUCAUUGGGACCUUGAUUUGUAUUUGUUUACACUGGUGGAUGGCUGUUCUGGAAGAUCCCAUUUCCGAAAAAACCAUUUCCAGACAUAAACACUUGGAAUGUCAUUUNNNNNNNNNNNNNNNNNNNNNNNNNAAUCCAAGUCCCAAAAAAGGGCCAGAGUUGGGGGGGGUAUUUUUCCGUGAUCCGACCGCCCUGAUUUAUAUAAGGUUCUUUUGACAUUAGAUGGAAGCAACCCAGUCAAGUGAUUCAAGAUGGACCAAGUAUCGCCUAUUCUCCUGCCCUUUUUUUUUGUCAAUCUUAUCAAUAAAAGAGUGAGGACUAAAAUAUAAUCUUGUACUCGAGUUCUGUUGUCAUGUAACUCGUUAUAUGGUGUGAUCUGUCACAUGCUACACUUUCUGCAAUGAAUGGCAGAGUUCGGGAGUUUGAAUCCCUUAAUGUGUAAUCAGUAGCAUCUAUGUGCAACUUUGAUGGUUUUUGUCACAUCCAAGUAGUGAACACAUUCAUCAUUGGGACCUUGAUUUGUAUUUGUUUACACUGGUGGAUGGCUGUUCUGGAAGAUCCCAUUUCCGAAAACCAUUUCCAGACAUAAACACUUGGAAUGUCAAUUUCUCAAUAUAUCUCUGAAAGCAUUGGAGCUAUAUCUGGUGGUGCACAAUAUCUUUCAUCCUAUCAUUUUUGAUUUUUAGAUAGAGAUUGCAUUUUCGGGUCCCUCUAUAUUCUUUUUUGAUCCAUUUAGAUAGAAAAUUGAACAUAUUCUUUGCCUUAUGUUUAGUUGUUUUUUUCAUGUGUGCCUAUUUAGUUUGGAAUUAUUUCUUGUGGAAUGAAUGAUCCAAUUGCUACAGCCACUUGGAAACACCAAGGCCGCAGAUUUAUUCUGCUUAGUAAAAAAAUCUAUGUUUUGAUGAAUGAAUAUUUCUGUGUAGAAGAUUGUUGUUUCUAAUUUUCAGGGAACUUAAGAUACUUGCUAUGCCAU